rnacentral:rRNA from 1 species
GAUGAACGCUAGCGGCGGGCCUAAUACAUGCAAGUUGAACGAGAUUGUUGGUAGCAAUACUGACAUGAAAGUGGCGCACGGGUGCGUAACACGUAUGUAACCUACCUUUAACUGGGGCAUAGCUUCGAGAAAUCGAAAUUAAUACCCCAUAACAUUUAGAAAAAGGCAUCUUUUCUUUAUCAAAAGUUCCGGCGGUUAAAGAUGGACAUGCGGUGCAUUAGCUUGUUGGUGAGGUAACGGCUCACCAAGGCUACGAUGCAUAGGGGGUCUGAGAGGAUGAUCCCCCANACUGGUACUGAGACACGGACCAGACUCCUACGGGAGCAGCAGUAGGGAAUAUUGGGCAAUGGACGAAAGUCUGACCCAGCCACGCCGCGUGAAGGAUGACUGCCCUAUGGGUUGUAAAC